UAAUACGUAGGGUGCGAGCGUUAAUCGGAUUUACUGGGCGUAAAGCGUACGCAGGCGGCUGGGUAAGACAGGUGUGAAAUCCCCGGGCUUAACCUGGGAACUGCAUUUGUGACUGCCUGGCUAGAGUCUGUCAGAGGGGGGUGGAAUUCCACGUGUAGCAGUGAAAUGCGUAGAGAUGUGGAGGAACACCGAUGGCGAAGGCAGCCCCCUGGGAUGAGACUGACGCUCAUGUACGAAAGCGUGGGGAGCAAACAGGAUUAGAUACCCUGGUAGUCCACGCCCUAAACGAUGUCGACUAGUUGUCGGGCCUUUACAGGCUUGGUAACGCAGCUAACGCGUGAAGUCGACCGCCUGGGGAGUACGGUCGCAAGAUUA
rnacentral:rRNA from 1 species